AUUGAACGCUGGCGGCAUGCUUUACACAUGCAAGUCGAACGGCAGCGCGGGCUUCGGCCUGGCGGCGAGUGGCGAACGGGUGAGUAAUACGUCGGAACGUGCCCAGUAGUGGGGGAUAGCUCGGCGAAAGCCGGAUUAAUACCGCAUACGACCUGAGGGUGAAAGCGGGGGAUCUUCGGACCUCGCGCUAUUGGAGCGGCCGAUGGCAGAUUAGCUAGUUGGUGGGGUAAGGGCCUACCAAGGCGACGAUCUGUAGCUGGUCUGAGAGGACGACCAGCCACACUGGGACUGAGACACGGCCCAGACUCCUACGGGAGGCAGCAGUGGGGAAUUUUGGACAAUGGGCGAAAGCCUGAUCCAGCAAUGCCGCGUGUGUGAUGAAGGCCUUCGGGUUGUAAAGCACUUUUGGCGGGAACGAAAAGGACUGUGCCAAUACCACGGUUCGAUGACGGUACCCGCAGAAUAAGCACCGGCUAACUACGUG
rnacentral:rRNA from 1 species